UACGUAGGGUGCGAGCGUUGUCCGGAAUUAUUGGGCGUAAAGGGCUCGUAGGCGGUCUGUCACGUCGGGAGUGAAAACUCAGGGCUUAACCCUGAGCCUGCUUCCGAUACGGGCAGACUAGAGGUAUGCAGGGGAGAACGGAAUUCCUGGUGUAGCGGUGAAAUGCGCAGAUAUCAGGAGGAACACCGGUGGCGAAGGCGGUUCUCUGGGCAUGUCCUGACGCUGAGGAGCGAAAGUGUGGGGAGCGAACAGG
rnacentral:rRNA from 1 species